rnacentral:rRNA from 1 species
GCUUAGCCCUAAACACAGAUAAUUACAUAAACAAAUUAUUUGCCAGAGUACUACCAGCAACAGUUAACUAAC